AGCGGGGGCGGCCGUGAGCGGCCGCGGCGUGCUCCGGCUCAGGGAAGGGGAGGCCGGCGCGAGCUCGGGAAGGGCGGGCGUGGGCGGGCUUGGUUGGGCGCGGCGAGCUCCGGCUCCGUCUCAUGGGGCAGGUGGAGGAGCACGACGCCGGGGCUCCAGCUCGUGGAGAAGAGCCGGUAGACAGAGGACGGCGAGCGACGACCGCGGAGGUACGUGUGGCGUCAGGACAAGCAAGCGAGGGAUGACCAAGUCAGAUCCACCUUCAGAGGCAGCAGCAACGCAUGUUUGCCAUUAUCAACCUGUAGAUUUGGUACUAUAUUAGUUUGAAGAUUGUGUCGGAUCCACAAGAGAGGCAAAAUAUGGAGUGGAAACUACAGUCCAGACACUGCAGGCUUUGAAAGAUUUGGAUGGAGCACAGGUCGGGAUGCUCCCGUUCAUCUUUGAUUUGGUGUGCUUUGGGUUGAAUCUGGGUUGUUUUUAUGGAUACGAUUGUGGAUGCGCUUCGCCGUCAUUGUCACCGAGGCUGCAAGACAUCAUGCUGGUGGACAUGGUGGUGGCGCUUGACCUGGUAGAGUGGUUUUCAUGAUGUAUUCUUUCUGGGAAGAAACACAAGGGAUAAAUCUGAAAUUGUGGAAUCAAAGAAUGCUUAUAAGAAGAUAAAUCAAAUUACAUGGAGAAUUUGCCCGGCCUGCUCAUCUCUAGGCACAACAAGGCGUUCGGUGAACCUGCAACAACACAACACAAUGGGAGGUAGGCACUGCACCCGUCCUCUUCAAGAAAUCACUCAAUUCUAUUGCCAGUCAUUCUCCUUGGGAUUGUGAAGGAACGAAGAAAGUAUGGUGCAUCUCAGCAGGAGAUGUUGGUUGAUCAAUCUUCAUGUCUUUGUGUGCUCAAUGAGAGCAUGACAAUAAAUUUUAGAAAUUGUACUGUUUGCAUCAUUCCAGGAGUCACAGUUAGCUGUCCAAUUUGCACCAUUCAUGAUCUUCUUAAGUAUGACUAAUACAUAUUAACGAUUUAUCACUUUGAUCCGACCCACAUGUCAUAGGCAGAGGCCAAGUUUUGUUAACUUUUGGGGGCAUCUCAGGUCAGGUUUUCCUGAUGUACCAUUGCUAGAUACAUCUAGCAUCCUGUAAAUUUUUAUGGUUUAUGCAAUGGAUCCAUUCUUUACCUAAAAGGCAUGCGCUGUUCUGUUAGUUACGCUUCCCACUUAGUGUUUGGAGAAUGUUCCAUCCUUUAACCAGUGCUAUC